UACGUAGGGAGCAAGCGUUGUCCGGAAUCAUUGGGCGUAAAGCGCGCGUAGGCGGCCUCGUAAGUCCGUUGUGAAAGUCAAAGGCUCAACCUUUGAAAGCCGAUGGAUACUGUGAGGCUAGAGUCCGGAAGAGGCGAGUGGAAUUCCUGGUGUAGCGGUGGAAUGCGCAGAUAUCAGGAGGAACACCAAUAGCGAAGGCAGCUCGCUGGGACGGUACUGACGCUAAGGCGCGAAAGCGUGGGGAGCGAACAGGA
rnacentral:rRNA from 1 species